UUAAGCGACUAAGCGUACACGGUGGAUGCCCUGGCAGUCAGAGGCGAUGAAGGACGUGCUAAUCUGCGAUAAGCGUCGGUAAGGUGAUAUGAACCGUUAUAACCGGCGAUUUCCGAAUGGGGAAACCCAGUGUGUUUCGACACACUAUCAUUAACUGAAUCCAUAGGUUAAUGAGGCGAACCGGGGGAACUGAAACAUCUAAGUACCCCGAGGAAAAGAAAUCAACCGAGAUUCCCCCAGUAGCGGCGAGCGAACGGGGAGCAGCCCAGAGCCUGAAUCAGUGUGUGUGUUAGUGGAAGCGUCUGGAAAGGCGCGCGAUACAGGGUGACAGCCCCGUACACAAAAAUGCACAUGCUGUGAGCUCGAUGAGUAGGGCGGGACACGUGGUAUCCUGUCUGAAUAUGGGGGGACCAUCCUCCAAGGCUAAAUACUCCUGACUGACCGAUAGUGAACCAGUACCGUGAGGGAAAGGCGAAAAGAACCCCGGCGAGGGGAGUGAAAAAGAACCUGAAACCGUGUACGUACAAGCAGUGGGAGCACGCUUAGGCGUGUGACUGCGUACCUUUUGUAUAAUGGGUCAGCGACUUAUAUUCUGUAGCAAGGUUAACCGAAUAGGGGAGCCGAAGGGAAACCGAGUCUUAACUGGGCGUUAAGUUGCAGGGUAUAGACCCGAAACCCGGUGAUCUAGCCAUGGGCAGGUUGAAGGUUGGGUAACACUAACUGGAGGACCGAACCGACUAAUGUUGAAAAAUUAGCGGAUGACUUGUGGCUGGGGGUGAAAGGCCAAUCAAACCGGGAGAUAGCUGGUUCUCCCCGAAAGCUAUUUAGGUAGCGCCUCGUGAAUUCAUCUCCGGGGGUAGAGCACUGUUUCGGCAAGGGGGUCAUCCCGACUUACCAACCCGAUGCAAACUGCGAAUACCGGAGAAUGUUAUCACGGGAGACACACGGCGGGUGCUAACGUCCGUCGUGAAGAGGGAAACAACCCAGACCGCCAGCUAAGGUCCCAAAGUCAUGGUUAAGUGGGAAACGAUGUGGGAAGGCCCAGACAGCCAGGAUGUUGGCUUAGAAGCAGCCAUCAUUUAAAGAAAGCGUAAUAGCUCACUGGUCGAGUCGGCCUGCGCGGAAGAUGUAACGGGGCUAAACCAUGCACCGAAGCUGCGGCAGCGACGCUUAUGCGUUGUUGGGUAGGGGAGCGUUCUGUAAGCCUGUGAAGGUGUACUGUGAGGUAUGCUGGAGGUAUCAGAAGUGCGAAUGCUGACAUAAGUAACGAUAAAGCGGGUGAAAAGCCCGCUCGCCGGAAGACCAAGGGUUCCUGUCCAACGUUAAUCGGGGCAGGGUGAGUCGACCCCUAAGGCGAGGCCGAAAGGCGUAGUCGAUGGGAAACAGGUUAAUAUUCCUGUACUUGGUGUUACUGCGAAGGGGGGACGGAGAAGGCUAUGUUGGCCGGGCGACGGUUGUCCCGGUUUAAGCGUGUAGGCUGGUUUUCCAGGCAAAUCCGGAAAAUCAAGGCUGAGGCGUGAUGACGAGGCACUACGGUGCUGAAGCAACAAAUGCCCUGCUUCCAGGAAAAGCCUCUAAGCAUCAGGUAACAUCAAAUCGUACCCCAAACCGACACAGGUGGUCAGGUAGAGAAUACCAAGGCGCUUGAGAGAACUCGGGUGAAGGAACUAGGCAAAAUGGUGCCGUAACUUCGGGAGAAGGCACGCUGAUAUGUAGGUGAAGUCCCUCGCGGAUGGAGCUGAAAUCAGUCGAAGAUACCAGCUGGCUGCAACUGUUUAUUAAAAACACAGCACUGUGCAAACACGAAAGUGGACGUAUACGGUGUGACGCCUGCCCGGUGCCGGAAGGUUAAUUGAUGGGGUCAGCGCAAGCGAAGCUCUUGAUCGAAGCCCCGGUAAACGGCGGCCGUAACUAUAACGGUCCUAAGGUAGCGAAAUUCCUUGUCGGGUAAGUUCCGACCUGCACGAAUGGCGUAAUGAUGGCCGGGCUGUCUCCACCCGAGACUCAGUGAAAUUGAACUCGCUGUGAAGAUGCAGUGUACCCGCGGCAAGACGGAAAGACCCCGUGAACCUUUACUAUAGCUUGACACUGAACAUUGAGCCUUGAUGUGUAGGAUAGGUGGGAGGCUUUGAAGUGUGGACGCCAGUCUGCAUGGAGCCGACCUUGAAAUACCACCCUUUAAUGUUUGAUGUUCUAACGUUGACCCGUGAUCCGGGUUGCGGACAGUGUCUGGUGGGUAGUUUGACUGGGGCGGUCUCCUCCUAAAGAGUAACGGAGGAGCACGAAGGUUGGCUAAUCCUGGUCGGACAUCAGGAGGUUAGUGCAAUGGCAUAAGCCAGCUUGACUGCGAGCGUGACGGCGCGAGCAGGUGCGAAAGCAGGUCAUAGUGAUCCGGUGGUUCUGAAUGGAAGGGCCAUCGCUCAACGGAUAAAAGGUACUCCGGGGAUAACAGGCUGAUACCGCCCAAGAGUUCAUAUCGACGGCGGUGUUUGGCACCUCGAUGUCGGCUCAUCACAUCCUGGGGCUGAAGUAGGUCCCAAGGGUAUGGCUGUUCGCCAUUUAAAGUGGUACGCGAGCUGGGUUUAGAACGUCGUGAGACAGUUCGGUCCCUAUCUGCCGUGGGCGCUGGAGAACUGAGGGGGGCUGCUCCUAGUACGAGAGGACCGGAGUGGACGCAUCACUGGUGUUCGGGUUGUCAUGCCAAUGGCACUGCCCGGUAGCUAAAUGCGGAAGAGAUAAGUGCUGAAAGCAUCUAAGCACGAAACUUGCCCCGAGAUGAGUUCUCCCUGACUCCUUGAGAGUCCUGAAGGAACGUUGAAGACGACGACGUUGAUAGGCCGGGUGUGUAAGCGCAGCGAUGCGUUGAGCUAACCGGUACUAAUGAACCGUGAGGCUUAACCU
rnacentral:rRNA from 1 species